CUCUGUGUUUUUGCAGAUGAAAUUGCAAGGUUUGGGGGACUCAUUACAUUCAUUCAGAUCUAAAAUAAGCAAAAUCAGAUAACAACCAGAGAUCAACAAGCUCACAACAGUGAGCCCAAUUCUCUGCUCACCACGAGCAAUUAAUUCAUCAACAGCAGUGCAAGCUAGUUGUACAGACAGCCACAUCCAGAUUUUCCACUUACUGCCCAGAUGUGUGAACACCUAUACAGCAAAAUGAUAUGUGUAUAGCACUGAUGAUCCAGUAUGCAGGAAAAGGCAUCAGACAUGCCAGCAUGUUUGCACAGCUACCUGAAGUCUCAAUAUCUCCAAAGAGAAACAGCCAACGCAAAUGAUUUCCACAUCAAUGUUGCCAAAAUCCUGUAAGUUAAAACUAUCUUUUUCAUUUCUAGGCUCAAUUUUUAUUAUUUACGUAUUUUUAAAUUCUAG